rnacentral:rRNA from 1 species
AUACAGAGGGUGCAAGCGUUAAUCGGAAUUACUGGGCGUAAAGCGCGCGUAGGCGGCUUUGUAAGUCGGAUGUGAAAGCCCUGGGCUCAACCUGGGAAUGGCAUUCGAUACUGCAUAACUAGAGUAUGGUAGAGGGAAGUGGAAUUUCCGGUGUAGCGGUGAAAUGCGUAGAUAUCGGAAGGAACACCAGUGGCGAAGGCGACUUCCUGGGCCAAUACUGACGCUGAGGUGCGAAAGCGUGGGGAGCAAACAGGAUUAGAAACCCCGGUAGUCC